rnacentral:tRNA from 1 species
GACGAGGUGGCCGAGUGGUUAAGGCGAUGGACUGCUAAUCCAUUGUGUGGGCCACGCCGUGGGUUCGAAUCCCAUCCUCGUCG